UGACUCUGAACUCUCGACCUUCCUGCCUCAGGCUCCUGAGCCACUGGGAUUACAGACUUUACCUGAGGCAUGCCUGCCCUCAAGCAAGGAUCCUGGGACAAGUAUGGAAGCCCACACUGUGAGGAUCAGAGCAUCCUGUUGAAAAACAAAACGUUUCUUCGUUCAAGACAAGAAAAUAUUAGCCGGAUCCAGUGGCGCGUGCCUGUCAUCCUGACUGCUCAGGAGGUUGAGGCAGGAGGAUCCCUCGAGUCCAGGAGUUCCAGCUUCCUGUUCAGUCAGUGGGAACCUCCAGAAUAUAGGAACGCUUCCUGCCCCUUCUUAUUUUGUAUGACCCACGUGUUAGAGAGAUCAAGUUGUCUGAUCUAACUCCUUACAACUACCAAAUGCUCUUCCUACCUCCCCUCUAGAGAGUGUGCUUAUCUGUGCUUAUCUGUCCUUGACCCUUUGAAAAGCAGGACUGUUUUUGAAUGUCAACUCACAUCAAAACAUCAUUGUAUCUGGAAAGGAUCUUUAAGAACAUGUAACCCAAGAGGUCUUAAGCUGAACGUAGGUUUGACGGACCUAUCAAGCCCCCACGUGGAGGACACAGCAUGGAGACUUGCCUCGGUGUGGUGUCAGGUGACUGGAUGGCUCUUUCCCUUCCUUUCCCAGAAACCUGGAAAAGUGUAAAGAACCAGCCUGAAAAGAUGGUCAUGCUUGGGAAACUUUUUUCUCCAGUUUCUUGUCGUACUAUUCCUGGACUAAGGUCCAGUUCUAACUGCUUGCUCUUAAGAAGGAACCUGUAAAUGGAGUAGGAAAGAAUGGACUUGAGACCUUGCACAUAGCGAGCCCUGAAGAAGGUUUGCUGAAGGAAUCAGCAAUGCAUGGAUGACUACAGGUUGAAACACGAGAUUUUCUUAUUUUUGUUGUUGUUCUUAUUUUGAGACAGAGUCUUGCUGAGGUGCUCAGGUUGGCCUCAAACUUGCAAUUCUCCUGCCUUGGCCCCCUGAAUAACUGGAAUUACAGGUGUGCACUUCCACACCUGGCUGAAAUAGUUUUUGAAGACGUGUGUGUGUGUGUGUGUGUGUGUGUGUGUGCCUCUAGAAACAAACGCUGAGGUUUCUAGAAGCAAACCUGAGGUUACAGAACCAAUGAAUGGAAAGUAAGACUCCAGGAUUUGUUUAUAUCAUUUGGGCCCUGGACCAAACCUUUCCUGAAGCCAGUAAGCUUUGCACUUUUCAGCAAAUUCCCCUCACUGUUUAAGUCAACUUAAUUUUGUUUUCUGAUUCUUGCUGGGAAAAAAAUCAUUAACCAAUAUAAGCUUAUGUAAAACCCAAUGUGUAUUUAUGAAGAUUUCCUAACUCCCAAACCAACAUUUAGCCAAAACCAAUUUCUCUAAUAUUCUCAGUAUGGUAAAGUUAUGUACUUAUCACUGUGCAUUGAAGACAGAUUUGUGUAAAAGUAAUUGGACCACGAUCUUACAGUGAGUCAGCUGUAACACAAUAAUUAAAAUCAAGGAACUCGAAUUCCCACAUCCCUGGAGACAUCAUCAAGUCUCUUAGGAAAUAAUGUUGACAUGUUGCCUAAAGUGACAUUUAGAU